GUUGGGUGCGUGGGCGUGAGAAGAGUUUUACGGCGUCUUCCUCGGUGCCUUCUUAUCUGCGUGCUAUUUCCUUCGGCUGUGAUUCAAGGCUGAGGUCAGCCGUUCCCUUCUCUGACCUGAGCCCGACCGAAGAGGUCGUCACCUCCUCCGCGCUGCAGUCAUCCCCGCCUUCUCCUUUCUUUGAAUGGGAGCAACUGUUUGCUGAAGUGUGAUUUGUGAAGAGGUAGGAGGAAAUGAGCUUGAGCAUCUCAGAAGCUUCAGUUCAGGGAUGAAGAAUUCUAAGGGCAAAAGUAUGGAUCUCUCUC